AAGUCGUAACAAGGUAUCCGUAGGUGAACCUGCGGAUGGAUCAUUAUCACGUUAUCCACGUAUCAACCAUUGUGAACUAGUACCUUUACCUUUGUUUGAGUUAUAUAGAUAUGAGUAUGAAGGAAACUUUAUACUUAUUUUUCUAUAUAUCUUAGACAAUUGUAUUUCAAUUCAUUUUAUUAACUAUUUAAACAAUAUUUAAAUAAUUAACUAUUGAACUGAAACAUUCUUUACUCUCUUCGGGGAGAAAGAAUAAAAAUUACGAAACAUAAGAACAACUCUUAGCAACGGAUAUCUUGGUUCUC
rnacentral:misc_RNA from 1 species